rnacentral:lncRNA from 1 species
AUGAUGACCUAAUACGAAGAUGAACGAGGAACCCUCGGACAACAUCGACAUCGCACUGGACAAAAAAUGAAAGAAGUCCGACGGACGAUAAUUCAACACGACGCAUGGGUAAGGUAACAAAGAUCUUCUUUUCAUUUCAAAAUGUGCGUUACAGAGCCCGAAAGGCCAAAAAAAAAAACAAAAACAAACAAAAAACAAAAACAACGAACAAACAGACGAC